UGUAAAAUUUUAAAGGUCGAACAGACCUAAUAUUGUAGCUUCUACACCAAAAAUUUAUUUUAAUCCAACAUCGAGGUCGCAAUCUCUUUUUUUAAUACGAACUCUAAAAAAAAAUUACGCUGUUAUCCCUAAGGUAAUUUUAUCUUAUAAUCAAAAAUAUUGGRUCAUUCACUCAUAAAUUUAUGUUUUAAAAUAAAAAAAGUUAUUCUAAUUUUUCAAUCACCCCAAUUAAAUUAUUUAAUAUAAUUAAUAAAUAAAUACUAAAAUAUUAUUUUUAUUAAAUAAUUAAACUCUAUAGGGUCUUCUCGUCUUUUAACUUUAUUUAAGCUUUUUAACUUAAAAAUAAAAUUCUAAUAAAAUUUAAUAGAGACAGUCAUUUUCUUAUCCAACCUUUCAUUCCAGUUUUCAAUUAAAAAACUAAUGAUUAUGCUACCUUAGCACGGUCAAAAUACCACGGCCAUUUAAAAAUUUCAGUGGGCAGGUUAAACCUUAAAUUAUGCACAAAAGGAC
rnacentral:rRNA from 1 species